AUCGGGUCCUAUUUUGGGGCUGGGGCGGGCUGGAGUCCAACAGGAACAGUUUGCUCUUGGCAUUAGAGUCUUGUUUAAGUGUUCAGUUUCCCUCAUCCUUUGGGACACCAGAGAUAGGCAAGGAGUGUGUGUUCUUGGCUGAGAUUUUUUUCUCACAGGUGUGCUGUUUUCCAAAAGUUACCCCACGGACCUGUUUGGGAUUCUCAGUGUGAAUUCUCAGAGAACUACAUGAAUGGGUGAUUUUUAAAACAGUCAUUUGUUUUACAAUUAAAAAAAUUCUAGCCAUCUCUGUUUUUUUCUAAGUUCAAGUUUAAAAAGUCAACAGGUCUUCAUUUGUAUCGGAUUCCCUUCUGUCCCUUUGCUCUGCAGUCAUUUGUCAUCCUGGAGGUGUUUGGGUUUGUUUAUGAACAUGCUAGACUAUGAACGUUACACGUGGGAUUCCUAGAUGACUUUUCAGGUCAUAUCCUGAAGUUGCCCUUAGCAAUACUAUUUGCUCCUUCAUUUGCCUUUCUGGGCCAGGUAAAAUGGCAUGGAAAAGAAAAAAUUGAUGUAUAGCACAGAUUCCCCUUCUAAACUUCUAGUAUCUGUUAACAAAACAAAACUCGGCCCCCACCUCCUCCCACCCCCUGCUAACCCAGACCAUACCCGGGUUUGGGAAAGCUGAUUUUUGCCUAUAGAUGACCUUCAUCUGGGAUUGCCAGUGCGCCAAAUGUGAUUCCAUGAACUCAAUCCUCCGUUUUGUGCAAUAGAAUGUGCUUCCUGCUCACACAGUGGGAUUCCUAGUUUGUUUAUCAGCUAACAUUUGUGAGGGCCAGCAAGAGGCGCUCAGAAAGAAUUCAGUGAACUGUCCAGGGAGGCUGUUAAGAAUGCACUGGUAUUGAUGCUCAUGUAGGACUUAGCCGAGUGCUCUGAGCACAGGGAGAACUCUGUGAAUUAUGUUAACAGGAGGGGAUGAGAAUUCCUAUAUCUCCUUAUGGAUCUGCGCAGCCCAAGGAUUCUGGAAAGACAAAUUGCUGUCUCUGACUCCAUGUGCGUGUACAUAAAAAAUGCCAUAAAAUUAAUGGGGAAAGACAUUUUGGGGAAUUAGAAAUAAAGGCAUGGAGAGAAAAAAAAUAUCCAGACUGCACACAAGCAAGGAAUUUACUUGUUCCUUUUGAAAAAUCUCCCCAACAGACAGAAAUUUGCAUCUCUAAGAUAAAGAGGAUGAACACAUGUCCCCUCGUCCUCCCUUGGCUUGGUCCUCCCCUGGCAGGGAAGCAGUCUGUGGGCUGCUGGGCACACAUAGAUGUUAUUGUGUCUCCAGCCGGCUUCAGCCCUGUCCAGAGGGUUUCAGGCACGCAGACCACCCCCCGCCCCGCGCGCGCCCCUCCAGAGCCUUUUAGAGUUCUGCUGGGAGACUCAAUUCACACACUGCCACGUGCACUCAGUCUCACUGGAAGAUGAACAAAAUCCAUUUUAGCAAGUCAGACACCAAAGAGCAAAAAGGGACCAUUACAGUCUCCAUGGAGAAGCCACACCAGUGACAUGGCCCUUUGUCUGUCAGACGCACAUUCCUGAUAGUGGCACAAGGCCUGAUUUGCACAAAGCCUUAGUCACGCAAAGACAUUUUCUUUUCAGGCUAUGGGUGUUUUCCCUGGUCAAGUCCUGACAGAAGGGCCCUUUUCAUGGUGGGACAGUCGGGUACCGCAAAUGUUUGACAAAGUUCUCACCUCUGCCUUCAAAGACAGAUGUGAACACAGUUCCAACAGUGAUCAAGAAAAUGCAUCAAGCAAUUGAUUUCUUGGAGACACACAGAAUCUUAAAACAGGGCCACUCGCCCAGGGAGCCAACGUUCAAGCUGAGGAGGAGAGACGCAGCGUGCAUCUACUAAUAUCUGAAAUGAGUGACAGGGGCCAAGUGGUGUCCCUCCAAAGUUCAUGUGUUGAAAUCCCAACCCUCCAUACUUCAGAGUGUAACCAUGCUUGAAGGUAUAGCCUUUAGAGAGGUGAUUAGGUUAAAUGAUGCUGUUAGUGGGAGCCCUAAUCCAGUGUUCUUUUAGGAAGAGGAAGAGACAGCAGGGAUAAGUGUUCACAGAGAAGAGACCACAUGAGGCCAGUGAGAAGGUUGCCAUCUGCAAGCCAAGGAGAGAGGUCUCACCAGAAGGCAGCCCUGAUGACUCCUUGAUCUUGGGUUUCCAGCCUCCAGAACUGAGAGAUCAUUUCUAUUGUGUGGCCACUGUCAGUGGUGCUUUGUUAUGGCAGCCCGGCAGACUAGGACACACAGGACCAGCGGGUGGUUUCCUAACAUGCUCUAAAAGACCAGAAGGGAGGCAAAUUUUCUUUUAGUUGGAGUAGUGUGUGAAAGAAUUUUGAAGGAGGUGGGCUCUGAGCUGGAAUAAAUAGCCACAAGCACGGCAUUUAUCAUAAUAUCUUACUUUAUGCAUAAGCUCCUUUUCCAAAGAGCUGUCUGUAGAUCAACUUAAUUUUAAUGAAAACAUAACCACAGAAUAACUGCUAUUGGGAAGCUUUCUGUUUUAAUCUCUUACUCUGGAUCCUUUGGUAAAAUUUUUCUCUUUUUGAGGUAAAUCUCCAUUUGAUUCAAGUAAAGUUUAACCUAAAA